GGGGAAUUUUGGACAAUGGGGGAAACCCUGAUCCAGCCAUGCCGCGUGCAGGAUGAAGGCCUUCGGGUUGUAAACUGCUUUUGUACGGAACGAAAAGGUUCUCUCUAAUAAAGAGGGCUCAUGACGGUACCGUAAGAAUAAGCACCGGCUAACUACGUGCCAGCAGCCGCGGUAAUACGUAGGGUGCAAGCGUUAAUCGGAAUUACUGGGCGUAAAGCGUGCGCAGGCGGUGAUGUAAGACAGAGGUGAAAUCCCCGGGCUCAACCUGGGAACUGCCUUUGUGACUGCAUUGCUGGAGUACGGCAGAGGGGGAUGGAAUUCCGCGUGUAGCAGUGAAAUGCGUAGAUAUGCGGAGGAACACCGAUGGCGAAGGCAAUCCCCUGGGCCUGUACUGACGCUCAUGCACGAAAGCGUGGGGAGCAAAC
rnacentral:rRNA from 1 species